UGGUCCAUGCCCCUCCAGCUUCUCUCCCAGACGUCCUUUGCCCCAUCCUUCUCCUCUCCUCAACUCCUGCUCAGCCUUAACACUCCACAAAACAAACAAACAAACAAACAAACAAAAACCCAACAUUUUGUCACACAUAAAUAUAAAAGAAAACUGCCUGGAAGUCCAAGUGUUCUGAAUAUAAAACCAACCUCAGAAUUCCACGAGUCCCAAAUUCUAUUAAGAGUUAUAAAUGACUAAAGAAUAACAUCAUUUUAGUAAAGAUAAGAAACACCCCCAAGGAUAAGUUCUAAGUUUAGGCAUAGUCAUAUUUAGCAAAAUUACAGGCACAAAGGAAUGGAAAUAGAAGCAAUAUUGGUCAAAUGACCACUCCCUUCCUUAGUUUUUUUUUUUUUUAUAGAGUCACCAUUUUAUGAAAACAAUACAUGCAUAUUCAAACAGAUUCAAAACAUGUAAACCAAUUCAAACAAAAAUGCAGAUAAGUUGUGCAGAUAUAAGAUGAAAUAAUGCCAUAAUCAAAAAAUUCUGUCUUGUUUUCUUUUUGACAUUUUUCUAAAACUAAAACAAAAAAUACCCCACAAGAGCACAUACUAGUUCACAAAUUACAUAUUCAAUGUAUAUUCUUUUCUCAUGAAAGGAUAUAUCCCAAGUCCUUACUGCUAUAAACAAUUCUUUGAUGAACUAACCUUUGUACAACCACGCAGUUAUCUCCUUGGAGGUAGAAAUGACAUUCGUGUCAGCUAUUUUUUUCAGUACUAUUAACUAGAAAAGAUGAUUAUUUUUGAAAAAAUACUUCAUUUUUGGGGCUCAAAGCUGACUGGAUUAUCCUAUUUAAAAACAUAGAUAAAUCCCAGCUAGUAUUGUUGUCUGUCUGGUAUUUAAUGUCUCAAAAAAGUAUUUCAAUGCAUGUCAAAGCUUCUUGGAAUAAGAAGACAGAUACUAUCAGUUGUCUGAAUAAUAUCCUUUUUACCUUUCUUGCACAGCCAUGAUUCUAGCAGGAUACUGAUGCAUCCAGCUAAAUUCUUCUACUCCCUCAGACCCCUGGAUGCUGUGAAAGUAACUUUGAUGAUCAGCUUGAUUGGAUUAAGGAACACUUAAGAUUCUUUCUUCUGGUCUUAUCCCCUCCCAGACCCCCCUUUCACAACUUGGGGAAGAGUCUCCUUUUGGCCUGUGCUAUCUGAGGGUUUCCUGGAGCUGCUCCUUGCUGUAGAAGAGGAUCUGGAACUGCGUUAUGAUUGAAGACCUCAGUGCUGAAGGCCAGAGGAUGGUCGGGGAGCUGCAACAGAUAGACAGUGUGCGGCAUUGUACUGCACAGGGAAGGCCAUACCCUGGGAAACUGAGGCACUUAAACAUGAAGAACCCGGAAGUGGAAUUUUGCAGUUACACUUCGACCCAUCCUUCAGAGAGCAAAGUUAAUUUGCAAAUUCAGACACACCAGGGUGCACUUCCAAAUGUUGAACCAUUUCAGAAAGGCCUGAUUGAGCUCUUGAAAGUCUUGCCAGCAUGUGCUUGUCAAGUUUGAGGCUGGCAUAAAGGACUAUAAA